AUGGCAGCGACCCAAACCCCAUGUGACAACACGAGGCGUCACCCCACCCAUACUGUGACCUUAGUGGGGUCUGGACAAAGCAUUGCCCUAAAGGAACACUAUAUGUAUGGCAGGACCCGUACCUGGGGUGUGCAGGUCUGUCCCACCAGCCUGAGGGCACGGGGCACACGUGUGCUGAUGCUGGGCUACACUGCUGUGGGAUUAGCUGUAGUGAGGUUCAGGAAGGUUCUGUGAGGAAUCUAUUCAAGCCUAAUGACACUAUGUCCUAAAGGGAUUCAGAUGCUAUGCCACAAGGAAGGAUCACAUUCUAAAGGAAUACAAAGAGGCAACAUUCAUGCUCAAAAAAGUGUUGAGUAGUUGCUUGGUGAAUGGUUACAUUAAGGAAGAUGGAAAUGACAGGAAGAGAGAGAAAAGGAAAUUGUGUCACAACAUGCACAAAAAAGCCAGAAUCAAAUAUGGUGAAGAGUCCCUGAACCAUUUACCUAUGAAAUGGGGAAGAGACAACAGAGAAAAGUAGGUUGUCACUCUGAUCUGAUU
rnacentral:lncRNA from 1 species